AGUCAUAUGCUUGUCUCAAAGAUUAAGCCAUGCAUGUCUAAGUACAAACUAUAUUAAAGUGAAACCGCGAAAGGCUCAUUAAAUCAGUUAUGGUUCCUUAGAUCGUACCCACAAUUACUUGGAUAACUGUGGUAAUUCUAGAGCUAAUACAUGCAAACAGAGCUCUGACCGGAGACGGAAGGAGUGCUUUUAUUAGAUCAAAACCAAUCGGCGUCGAUAAUAUUUCGGUAUUAUCGUUCGUCGCUCAAUUAUAUGGUGAAUCUGAAUAACUUUAUGCUGAUCGCAUGGUCUUGUACCGGCGACGCAUCUUUCAAAUGUCUGCCUUAUCAACUGUCGAUGGUAGGAUCUGCGCCUACCAUGGUUGUAACGGGUAACGGGGAAUCAGGGUUCGAUUCCGGAGAGGGAGCCUGAGAAACGGCUACCACAUCCAAGGAAGGCAGCAGGCGCGCAAAUUACCCACUCCCGGCACGGGGAGGUAGUGACGAAAAAUAACGAUACGGGACUCAUCCGAGGCCCCGUAAUCGGAAUGAGUACACUUUAAAUCCUUUAACAAGGACCAAUUGGAGGGCAAGUCUGGUGCCAGCAGCCGCGGUAAUUCCAGCUCCAAUAGCGUAU
rnacentral:rRNA from 1 species